UUCCUNAGACGCUGGCGGCGUGCCUAACACAUGCANGUCGAACGAGAAAGUCCCUUCGGGGGCGAGUAAAGUGGCGCAAGGGUGAGUAACACGUGAAUAAUCUGCCUUCGAGACUGGGAUAACUUGGCGAAAGUUAAGCUAAUACCGGAUAAGACCACAUUUCAUAAGGAGCGCGGUAAAAGGGGUCUCAAACCCUGCUUGAAGAUGAGUUCGCGUACCAUUAGCUUGUUGGUGAGAUAACAGCUCACCAAGGCAACGAUGGUUAGCCGGCCUGAGAGGGUGAUCGGCCACACUGGAACUGAGACACGGUCCAGACUCCUACGGGAGGCAGCAGUGGGGAAUCUUGCGCAAUGGGCGAAAGCCUGACGCAGCAACGCCGCGUGAGCGAUGAAGGUCUUCGGAUCGUAAAGCUCUGUCAAGUGGGAANAACACAAUGACGGUCCCUANAGGAAGCCCCGGCUAACUUCUGCCACCACCCGCGGUAAUACAAAGGGGCAGCGUUGUUCGGAAUUUUGGGCGUAANCGUUUUAGGUGGUCUUUCAGUAAACUNUANCCCUNGCUUACCAAGAAUUCNUUNAACUAUUACUUAUUUNGAAAAAAC
rnacentral:rRNA from 1 species